CGACAGGGGGCGCCCCGCCUCCCCCGGGGCGGAUAAAGGCGGCGGCACCGGCACCGGCACCGGGCGGGAUGGCCCGGGGCGCGCUCCGCCUGCUCUGCUGCGCCGCUGCCCUGCUCGCUGCCGCAGCAACAACUCCAUCCAGUACCUCAGGAUCAGCAACACCUCCAUCAUCUCCAUCCAGCACCACCACCACCACAACAACUCCAUCCAGUACCUCAGGAUCAGCAACACCUCCAUCAUCUCCAUCCAGCACCACCACAACAACUUCAUCCAGUACCUCGAGAUCAACAACAUCUCCAUCAUCUCCAUCCAGCAUCACCACAGCUCCAUCCAAUACCUCGGGAUCAACAUCUUUAUCCAGCACCACCACCACAGCUCCAUCCAAUACCUCGAGAUCAACACCACCUCCAUCAUCUCCAUCCAACACCACCACAGCUCCAUCUUCAGCCAGGACACCUUUGCCACCCUCAUCCAAUGCCACCACCACGGCACCGACUCCAUCCCCCACGAGCGUGUCCAGAUCCACAGAGCAUCCACCCAACUCCACCACACCGCCAGCCCCAUCCUCGGCCAGGCCCUCUGGGCCUGCUUCUCCCACCGUGACCCCCAGAGCCACAGCAGCCCCUGGCAGCUCCGGUGAGAGCCGGGCUGGGGGGCACCGGGCAGAUGGGGGACCUGGGGAUGGGCACGGGUCCCCCUGGAACCCCCACUUGGGGCUGCACUCACAGGUGGGCUCAGGGGUGCAGGUCCCAGGGUGAGCCCAGAGCCCCCCGGCUGCUCCCCUCUCCUUGGGGGGGUUGUUGAGGGCUCCCCUUUCCCCCCUGGUCUCUGCCAGGGGUCACAGAGUGCCACAGGAGCUGGGUGCCAGUCUGUGAUGGAGGGGUGGCACUCGGGGGGCUGGAGCGGGUCUCGAGCCACCUCUUUCUCCGGGGUGCUUGGAGGCUGGGCAUGAGCUUCAGUGGGGGGAUAACGGGGUGCUGGGGGGAAUAACGGGGUGGUGGGAGGGAUAACGGGGUGCUGGGGGGAUAACGGGGUGCCAAGGGGGAUAAUGGGGUGCCAGGAGCAAUAAUGGGGUGUCAGGGGGGGUAACAGGGUGCCAGGGGCGAUAGGGUGCUGGGUGGGAUAACGGGGUGCUGGGGGCAAUAAUGGGUUGCCGAGGGGGAUAACGGGGUGCUGAGGGGGAUAACAGGGUGGUGGGAGGGAUAACAUGGUGCCGAGGAGAAUAAUGGGGUGCCAGGAGCAAUAACGGGGUGCUGAGGGGGUAACAGGGUGCCAGGGGUGAUGGGGUGCCCGGGGG
rnacentral:lncRNA from 1 species